CGUACACUCCUACGGGAGGCAGCAGUGGGGAAUUUUGGACAAUGGGCGCAAGCCUGAUCCAGCCAUGCCGCGUGCGGGAAGAAGGCCUUCGGGUUGUAAACCGCUUUUGUCAGGGAAGAAAAGGUUCUGGCUAAUACCUGGGACUCAUGACGGUACCUGAAGAAUAAGCACCGGCUAACUACGUGCCAGCAGCCGCGGUAAUACGUAGGGUGCAAGCGUUAAUCGGAAUUACUGGGCGUAAAGCGUGCGCAGGCGGUUAUGCAAGACAGAGGUGAAAUCCCCGGGCUCAACCUGGGAACUGCCUUUGUGACUGCAUGGCUAGAGUACGGUAGAGGGGGAUGGAAUUCCGCGUGUAGCAGUGAAAUGCGUAGAUAUGCGGAGGAACACCGAUGGCGAAGGCAAUCCCCUGGACCUGUACUGACGCUCAUGCACGAAAGCGUGGGGAGCAAACAGGAUUAGGAACCCGUGUAGUCCC
rnacentral:rRNA from 1 species